UUUAGCUCAAAAGACGGGGAAAGAAGGGUUUGAAGUCCAACAAUUUCCCUUAAAAAAAGGUGAUACUGUAAGUUGCACACAUCAUUUUAUGCAUGCCGCAUGGAGAAAUAUGGGAUGCAAGCAGGCUAUGGAAUCUAGCUUCUAAGGUGUGUACACAACAUGAAGGUGGCCAUCUGCAAGCCAAAAAGAGAGCCUUUACCAGAACCUGACCAUUGCUGGCACCCCAAUCCUGGAUGAUCCAGCCUCUAGAACUAUGAGAAAUAAAUUUCUGCUGUUCAAGCAACCCAGUCUAAGAUAUUUUUGUUGUAGCAGCCUGAACUGCCUAAAGAAACUGUGGUCUUGUAAAUUUCUCCAACAUCAUCUCAAAUCACUCUCCGAAUUGCUCUUGUCCAGGCAUGUAGGUCUCCCUGUGUUCCCAGAGCAUGAGAAUUCACUUCCUUCCCCAGAGGCUCUGAACUCUCUAUCUCCUCUGUCUUAAUCAUACUCUAGUUCUUCACCUACCUGGCUCCUUCUCAUCCUUCAGGUAUCUUACAUAGCACCUCCAGAAUGAGCAACACAUUUCAUGACCAUUCUGUCUAAAACCAUACCUUUCCUGUUUACUCAGUUACCAUAAUUAAUGAUUUUAUUUCCUUCACUAAACUUUUCACAAUCUGUAACUGUUUUAUUUUUAAUUAUUUAAUAGGGCAUUGCUUGUCUCCAACAUAUAAAUAUAAGUUUCAUAACUGUGUAAGUAUCUUCUGUGUCUUUGUCACCCUGCUAUUCUUUCUGCCAAUUACAGUGCAUGACACAAAGUGUUAUUUAAAAAUAUUUGUUGAAUGAGUGAAUUGUAUGGAUAAGCUCUUAGAAAAACAAAUAUACAGGUAUGUGCAUGUGUGUACUGUGAGUUAAUCAUACUAUUUCUCAAUAAGUAGACCAAAAGAAUCUUAUUUACAGAACUCUAAGGCAUUUUUUCACAAGUAUUGCUAACUUAUGACUAUAAAACACCAUGUUGUUGCCCUUGAG
rnacentral:lncRNA from 10 species